rnacentral:rRNA from 1 species
CCUACGGGAGGCAGCAGUGGGGAAUAUUGCACAAUGGGGGAAACCCUGAUGCAGCGACGCCGCGUGAGUGAAGAAGUAUUUCGGUACGUAAAGCUCUAUCAGCAGGGAAGAAAAUGACGGUACUUGACUAAGAAGCCCCGGCUAACUACGUCGCAGCAGCCGCGGGAAUACGUAGGGGGCAAGCGUUAUCCGGAUUUACUGGGUGGAAAGGGAGCGGAGACGGCAGCGCAAGUCUGGAGUGAAAUCCCAUGGCUUAACCAUGGAACUGCUUUGGAAACUGUGCAGCUAGAGUGCAGGAGAGGUAAGCGGAAUUCCUGGGGUAGCGGUGAAAUGCGUAGAUAUUAGGAGGAACACCAGUGGCGAAGGCGGAUUACUGGACUGUAACUGACGUUGAGGCUCGAAAGCGUGGGGAGCAAACAGGAUUAGAUACCCGGGUAGUC